CCCUUUUAUGCUCUUAAGGUUUGUGUUGUAUGAUACAGAGAGUAGCAUGGCCCCUGAGCAAAGGUGACAUGCAAAAUUCACAAAGAGUGCCUUAUUUUU
rnacentral:snRNA from 1 species